rnacentral:rRNA from 1 species
AGUGAACGCUGGCGGUAGGCCUAACACAUGCAAGUCGAACGGCAGCACAGUAAGAGCUUGCUCUUACGGGUGGCGAGUGGCGGACGGGUGAGGAAUACAUCGGAAUCUACUUUUUCGUGGGGGAUAACGUAGGGAAACUUACGCUAAUACCGCAUACGACCUACGGGUGAAAGCAGGGGAUCUUCGGACCUUGCGCGAUUGAAUGAGCCGAUGUCGGAUUAGCUAGUUGGCGGGGUAAAGGCCCACCAAGGCGACGAUCCGUAGCUGGUCUGAGAGGAUGACAGGGCACAGGGGAACGGAGACACGGUACAGACGACUACGGGAGGCAGCAGUGGGGAAUAGUGGGCAAUGGGCGCGGGCUGGAAACAGCUGUACCGGGGAAGUGAAGAAGGCCGCCGGGUAGUAAAGACGUUUUCGGGGGAAAGAAAAGUAGCAGGCGAAUACCCCGCGGUUGGGACGGUAAACAAAGAAUAAGCACCGGCGAACUUCGUG